GACGUAGGGACCGAGCGUUGUCCGGAUUUAUUGGGCGUAAAGCGCGCGCAGGCGGCCGUGCAAGUCGGAUGUGAAAACCAGAGGCUCAACCUCUGGCCUGCAUUCGAAACUGCUCGGCUAGAGGCAGGUAGGGGAGAGGGGAAUUCCCGGUGUAGCGGUGAAAUGCGCAGAUAUCGGGAGGAACACCGGUGGCGAAGGCGAGUCUCUGGGAUGAUGCUGACGCUGAGGCGCGAAAGCCAGGGGAGCAAACGGG
rnacentral:rRNA from 1 species